AUUGAACGCUGGCGGCAUGCUUUACACAUGCAAGUCGAACGGUAACAGGCCGCAAGGUGCUGACGAGUGGCGAACGGGUGAGUAAUGCAUCGGAACGUGCCCAGUCGUGGGGGAUAACGCAGCGAAAGCUGUGCUAAUACCGCAUACGAUCUAUGGAUGAAAGCGGGGGACCGUAAGGCCUCGCGCGAUUGGAGCGGCCGAUGUCAGAUUAGGUAGUUGGUGGGGUAAAGGCUCACCAAGCCAACGAUCUGUAGCUGGUCUGAGAGGACGACCAGCCACACUGGGACUGAGACACGGCCCAGACUCCUACGGGAGGCAGCAGUGGGGAAUUUUGGACAAUGGGCGCAAGCCUGAUCCAGCAAUGCCGCGUGCAGGAAGAAGGCCUUCGGGUUGUAAACUGCUUUUGUACGGAACGAAAAGGUUUGGGUUAAUACCCUGGGCCGAUGACGGUACCGUAAGAAUAAGCACCGGCUAACUACGUGCCAGCAGCCGCCGCGG
rnacentral:rRNA from 1 species